rnacentral:rRNA from 1 species
GACGAAGGUGGCGAGCGUUACUCGGAAUUACUAGGCGUAAAGCAUGGGCAGGCGGCUCGGUCAGUCUGUUGUGAAAGCUCCCGGCUUAACCGGGAGAGGCCAAUGGAUACUGCCGGGCUUGAAUCGGGGAGGGGUCACUGGAAUUCCUGGUGUAGCGGUGAAAUGCGUAGAUAUCUGGAGGAAUACCGGUGGCGAAGGCGGCAUCCUGGACCGAGAUUGACACUGAUGAGCGAAAGCCAGGGGAGCAAACGGG